GCUUGAGUGGAGUAGUAGUUCAACUCGUCGCCCUUCCAUCCCGGAUGAGAGGCGGAAACCCGGGUGCGAAUCCCGGCUCAAGCA